rnacentral:rRNA from 1 species
CGAAAUGCGAUACUUGGUGUGAAUUGCAGAAUCCCGUGAACCAUCGAGUUUUUGAACGCAAGUUGCGCCUGAGACCUUUAGGUUGAGGGCACGUCUGCCUGGGCGUCACACACAGCGUCG